rnacentral:rRNA from 1 species
UACGUAGGGGGCAAGCGUUGUCCGGAUUCAUUGGGCGUAAAGAGCGUGUAGGCGGCCAGGUAGGUCGGUUGUGAAAACUGGAGGCUCAACCUUCAGAGGUCGACCGAAACCAUCUGGCUAGAGUCCGGGAGAGGAGAGUGGAAUUCCUGGUGUAGCGGUGAAAUGCGCAGAUAUCAGGAAGAACACCCGUGGCGAAAGCGGCUCUCUGGAACGGUACUGACGCUGAGACGCGAAAGCGCGGGGAGCGAACAGG